CAUAGUUCACAGCGGAAGGGGCAGGACUUCAGCUCUCUAUAAACACUGAUAUGAUGCUGUCGGCUGCAGCAGAAGAAGAGAAGCUCCCAUCAGAUCAGCUUUAAUCUCAACCAUGAUCUGUGUAGCUCUGCUGCUGUUGGCUGCUGGAUGCUGUGUGAAGUGUGAAACGCUGACACAACCAGCCUCUGUGACUGUGCAGCCAGGUCAACGUCUGACCAUCACCUGUCAGGUCUCUUAUUCAUUGGACAGCUACUACACAGCUUGGAUCAGACAGCCUGCAGGACAAGGACUGGAGUGGAUUGGAAUGAAAGCCACUGGAGGUUCAUAUUAUAAAGAUUCAUUGAAGAACAAAUUCAGCAUUGACCUGGACACUUCAAAUAAAAUAGUGACUCUGAAUGGACAGAAUAUGCAGCCUGAAGACACCGCUGUGUAUUACUGUGCGAGAGAUCCACAGUAA